CCUACGGGUGGCUGCAGUGAGGAAUAUUGGUCAAUGGGCGCGAGCCUGAACCAGCCACGUAGCGUGAAGGAUGACUGCCCUACGGGUUGUAAACUUCUUUUAUAAAGGAAUAAAAUGAGGCACGUGUGCCUUUUUGUAUUUACUUUAUGUAUAAGGAUCGGCUAACUCCGUUCCAUCAGCCGCGGUAAUACGGCGGAUCCGAGCGUUAUCAGGAUUUAUUGGGUUUAAAGUGAGCGUAGAUGGGUUGUUAAGUCAGUUGUGAAAGUUUGCGGCUCAACCGUAAAAUUGCAAUUGAUACUGGCAGCAUUGAGUACAGAUGAGGUAGGCGGAAUUCGUGGUGUAGCGGUGAAAUGCUUAGAUAUAACGAAGAACUCCGAUUGCGAAGGCAGCCUACUAAACUGCCACUGACAUUGAUGCUCGAAAGUGUGGGUAUCAAACAGGAUUAGAUACCCCAGUAGUC
rnacentral:rRNA from 1 species